UACGUAGGGUGCGAGCGUUGUCCGGAAUUAUUGGGCGUAAAGGGCUCGUAGGCGGUCUGUUGCGUCAGGAGUGAAAACUCGGGGCUUAACCCCGAGCCUGCUUCUGAUACGGGCAGACUAGAGGUAUGCAGGGGAGAACGGAAUUCCUGGUGUAGCGGUGAAAUGCGCAGAUAUCAGGAGGAACACCGAUGGUGAAGGCAGGUCUCUGGGCAUUAACUGACGCUGAGGAGCGAAAGCAUGGGGAGCGAACAGG
rnacentral:rRNA from 1 species